AGUGAACGCUGGCGGCAGGCCUAAUACAUGCAAGUCGAACGGCAGCACAGCAGAGCUUGCUCCGUGGGUGGCGAGUGGCGGACGGGUGAGGAAUACAUGGGAGUCUGCCCAGUCGUGGGGAUAACGUAGGGAAACUUACGCUAAUACCGCAUGCGCCCUUCGGGGAAAGCCGGGGACCUUCGGGCCUGGCGCGAUUGGAUGAGCCCAUGUCGGAUUAGCUAGUUGGCGGGGUAAUGGCCCACCAAGGCGACGAUCCGUAGCUGGUCUGAGAGGAUGAUCAGCCACACUGGAACUGAGACACGGUCCAGACUCCUACGGGAGGCAGCAGUAGGGAAUAUUGGACAAUGGGCGCAAGCCUGAUCCAGCCAUGCCGCGUGAGUGAAGAAGGCCUUCGGUUG
rnacentral:rRNA from 1 species